GAUGAACGCUGGCGGCGUGCCUAAUACAUGCAAGUCGAGCGAACGGACGAGAAGCUGGCUUCUCGGAUGUUAGCGGCGGACGGGUGAGUAACACGUGGAUAACCUACCUAUAAGAUUGGGAUAACUUCGGGAAACCGGUGCUAAUACCGGAUAAUAUUUUGAACCGCAUGGUUCAAAAGUGAAAGACGGUCUUGCUGGCACUUAUAGAUGGAUCCGCGCUGCAUUAGCUAGUUGGUAAGGUAACGGCUUACCAAGGCAACGAUGCGUAGCCGACCUGAGAGGGUGAUCGGCCACACUGGAACUGAGACACGGUCCAGACUCCUACGGGAGGCAGCAGUAGGGAAUCUUCCGCAAUGGGCGAAAGCCUGACGGAGCAACGCCGCGUGAGUGAUGAAGGUCUUCGGAUCGUAAAACUCUGUUAUUAGGGAAGAACAUAUGUGUAAGUAACUGUGCACAUCUUGACGGUACCUACUCAGAAAGCCACGGCUAACUACGUG
rnacentral:rRNA from 1 species